rnacentral:lncRNA from 1 species
CUUAUUGAGUUUCACUAAAGCCUUACCAAAAUCAAUGCCACAAAUCUCCGUUUGUGCUUGCGUUUUUGAAUUAAAAGCCUUCUUUUGUUAUCAGUAUAAGCUUUUGUUAAGUUUGAAUCUGAUUGAGUUAUUGUCUUUGUAAUAAUUUGGCUCAAGUGUUAUAUGAAAUGAAAAAAAAAAUGCGGAUCCAUGUAGUUCUGCAUGACCCGUAACGGCCCAUCCUGCAAAAGACCCAGUCCCGCAAAAAUCCAUCCCGCGAGGUCUGCAAAUUUGCGGACUUAGAAAACCUCAUCCGAAUACCAUCCCGCGAUAGUUCUUUACGGGCAAGGCCUGCGGUCUAGAUCCAUAAUUGCCAUAUGUAGUUAUGGAGUUGGGUUGGAGGAGAUGACCUUAGUCGGGGUUAUAAGAAACAUUAAAAAAAAAAAACAAAUAGUAUAAUAUAUUUUCUCAUUUCUACUUUGGAAAAUGGACAUCUUUUUAAAUUUAGUAACGAAGACACCAAAAUGUAUAGUUUUGAAUAUCUAUACUAUUAUUUGCGAAGUAAAU